rnacentral:lncRNA from 1 species
GUUGAAUUUAAACUGAGAUGUGGCAUGGUUUGAAGCAUAGUCACUUCAAAAGUGCUGUCCUAAUCAGAGCUUCUUACAGUAACUUAAAUGAAGCUUGAUCAAGCCAAACCUAAGCCAAACCCUGCUCUCAGUUCCACCAGAGAAAAUGCCAGUGUCACAUGGCUGUGCUGUCAGAAUGCUUCAUCACAGCUAACAAACCCCAAGGAACACCUCUGAGUUACCAUGCACCUGGGGAGCAGCAGCACACAGCCAACUCUGCCUGCCUUGGUCAACCCUGUCUCCUCUGCUUCACAUGGUCAGGUGCUGCACAUGUGCUUUGCACCUGUAGAUAAAUCAAGAUUUCUCUAGUCAUUCUACUUAGGGAAUUACUUCGAUCUGCUUAAAUAUCUUACAUACUGAAUACUGACAUCACUCAUGAAUGGUACAGCAAAUCCCAGACACUACAGUGUUAAUUCUGCAGGCGGUGAUACUGACUUGCAUGUUCAGCCUGUCCACAUCAGAAGAUCUAUCACCAGUAACUGUCACAGGGAGAAGCCUACUCUGCUAAAAACAAUCAAGCAUCAAUGGAGGUAUCUAUCAUUUAAUACUAUGACUGCGCUCAAAGUACUCUAAUAAAGCAUACAUGUAUUCUGACCAAGAAAAGUGAAGUCAGUGGUCACAAACUGCACAUGAUAAAACUGGAAUUCAGAAAUUGAAGGACUGAGCAGACCACUAAAAUGAUGUUGCUACUUCACAGCCUUGCUAUUCUGUAAAACAGGAGAGGUGUAAGUACUUUCAUCAGAAAGACUAUGUAAAGUUAUUUUUAAAUAACAUGCAGAAAACAACAGCAGUUGUCCCAAGCUAGGCAUGCUUUGUUUUAUUUAUUUUAUUUACUUGCGUCUGCUUACUGUAUCACAUUUCUUUUGGGCUUUUGCCCAGAUUUUAAAAUGUCUAUACUUAAAAUUACAUUUUUAAAUGCACAAGCCAAGACUAAGGGAGCUGUUUUCAUUUUUUCUCCUAAAAUGACAAUAUAAUAUCAAGCGCCUACUUCAGAAAAUCUUUCUCUUCAAAGGCCUGUUGAAUGAAUCAUCAGCAAAUGCACGCAAGUCUUGGAGAGAUCAACAAGCAUUUGUCACUGUAAUCCAAAAAGAAAUCUCUCUAUGCAUAGGUUACUAAUUUUCU